rnacentral:rRNA from 1 species
AUUUUAAUGAUCGAACAGAUCAAAAUUUUAAACUUUUGCAUUUAAAUUUUAUCUUAAUCCAACAUCGAGGUCGCAAACUUUUUUUUUUAUUUGAACUAAAAAAAAAUAUUACGCUGUUAUCCCUAAGGUAAUUUUUUCUUAUAAUCAUUAUUAAUGGAUCAUUUAAUCAUUUAUUUAUGUUUAAUUUUUAAAAAAAGUUAAUUUAAUUUUUCUAUCACCCCAAUAUAAUAAUUAAUUUUAUUUUAAUAAAAAUUUUUAUAUAAUUUUAAAAUAAAAAUAAAUAUAAAACUCUAUAGGGUCUUCUCGUCUUUUAAAAUUAAUUUAGCUUUUUAACUAAAAAAUAAACUUCUAAAAAUAAAUAAGAGACAGUUUAUAUUUCAUCAAAUCUUUCAUACAAGUUUUCAAUUAAAAAACUAUUGAUUAUGCUACCUUUGUACAGUCAUUAUACUGCAGCCCUUUAAUUAUUAUCAGUGGGCAGAUUAGACCUUAAAUUAUAUUCAA